AUCUCCCAUGGAUCUGAGGGAUCACUGGAUCUUCACACCAGCACCAGGACUUUGCUGGAGAAGAGCACAGAUCCCCAGCCCAGUCUGGGACACAGAACCCUGUGAAAUGGCAGAAGGAUUGUGGUGUGAAUGCAGCACCCUCAGAGCCCUUGGUGUGAGCCCGGAAAGGAAAAUCAAGGGAAAUGGUUAAAGCCUUGUUGUUCAAUGUGGAGCACAGGAGAACUUUGUUCUCAUUGUCUCCCCGAUAAGGAGGAGGACUCAGAUCUUCUGGUUGGCCCCACGGGCAGGUUGAGUGGGGGAACAGAAAAUCAAGAUGCAGAAACCAAUCUUGCAGGGGAACUGGCAUGUGAAGAGGCAGAUUUAGCAUGUCCAGAAGGAAAGGGAGAGAGAAUGUGUCAGAGAGAGAGCAGAGAGCUUCAGAAAUCCCUGAGGAAAUGGUGCCCCCGGGGAGAGGAAGAGGAUGAGAGCAUGGGCAGCCUACUUCAAACAUCCCCCCCAGGAGACUUGGGAUCAGUCCCUGUGCAUCCUGUAAGAAAGAUGGACACUGGAAAUGGGAUUGUCCACAACUGAAACUUCAGAACCCUCCGAACCCUCUCCUGGCAUCACUGAAGACGACUGAGGGGGCACCAGAGGAUUCUUCCCCAUCAGAACAUCUGGUUCCAGCCAAGCUAAGUACAAUUGGUUGUGGCUGUGGGAACUUGUUCCUCUGUGUUAAAUAAGGGAAAAUGAAACUCAAGUCACAAUUCUGGAACAAUUGUCUGGUGUGCCAGGGAACUGGGAAACUGGGCCAUUUUUAAUGCUGUGGAUUUGAAAUUGGGAAAACAGUGGUUGGCUCCCCAGUGUUUGUAUUUCCCCAAUUCCCCAAAGCCUCUGCCUGGGAGAGAUCUCUUGGCAAAAUGAAAUGCCACAAUCCAAUUGAAAAAUGGUAAAAUAUAGGUUAUUAUUGCAGAGCCUAAUUCUGUGGAAGAUUCUAGUUUUGCAUGAGAGUCUCCAAAAGCAGAACUAAUCCAUCUGCCAACGUCACCUUGGGGAUGCAGUGAUUCCAGUAGGAUGGGCUGGAGAGGUGCCCCCCUGAUCCAAAAGAGCAGAACUGUGAGAAUUCCAGUGAAACCUGGAGCAGGGUUGGUCAGGCCAAAGCAAUAGCCUUUGAAAAUGGAAAGUUGUGAGGGAUUCUCACUCUCUGUAGAAAAACUGAUGAAAUUUUGCUUGUUAAAAGAAUGUGAAUCUAAAUGGAAUGCUCCAAUUUUGCCAGACAAGCAGGCAAAUGGAAGGCUAUCCCAGUUAGUCCAAGACCUCAGAGCUAUAAAUAAUAGAGUAGAAGAUAUACAAGCAGUUGUAGCGAAUCCUUACACUUUGCUAACUCCCCUAAAUGAAAGUUUAAUGUUUCACAGUAUUAGAUUUGAAAGCUGCCUUUUUCUGUCUCCCUUUGAGUUGUGAAAGUCAAGAGCUUUUUGCUUUCAAAUGGGAAAAUCCAAAGACAGGGAGGAAAACCCAGCUGACUUUGGUGGUCCUCCUGCAGGUGAUGCCAGCUCAGCUGAUGCUAAGGAAAAACCUCAGGAGCAGUUAAUUGAGUGUGAGAUAAGGAAAGGGUUUGAUUUGUGCCAAGGCACAGAUGUUACAGGAUGCAUGCCCGCUGUGCCUGAGAUGUUACAUUUUAUAAUACUACCUGUCCAAUCCCAAGUGUUUCCACCCCGUAGCCUUUGCUCUGGUCUGCUCCGGGCCCACUCCCUGGGAAUUGAGUCUGGGGUGCAUUUCGGGACCCUCUCUUCAUCCCCAUCACCAUCCUCAGAGCACAAAGGGUACACGGUCACCCAGUUCUUGACUCUGUUCUGUUGUUCAGGCCAAGAUAGGAGUGUUCUCUAAACAGCACAGGCCUUGCCUUGACAAGAGACUAAACAUUUCUACUGAAUUCAGGGGUAGGAUUGAUAUGGGGAGCAUGGAAUGGGGUAGGAGGGUUGAGGAAUGUGUAAACUAAAGGGUGCUAAAGGGUGAGGAAUACAAUAUAGCUACUUCUAAAAUCUACUAUAAUUACAUAUAAAGCUUAUAAAAAUUAACAAAGUCAAAAAAAAAACUAAAUAGGGCUUAAGGCAUCACAGGGGUUUAAAAAUAUCCCCCCAAUAUUUGGAACUCAAUUGGCAAAGGAACUGGAGGAAUGGAAAAGUCAAACCCCUCUUGGAGCCUUGUUCCAGUGUGUGGAUAUUUUGAUAGCCACUGAUGCUGAGCAGCAAUGUUGGGAUCAGACACUAUGGAAUUUCCUUGGACUGGGUGGAUAUGGGGUGUCCCAAACACAAAGUGCAAGUAGUCCAGACCCCAGGAGCCUCCCUGGGCUUUGGAAUUCUCCAAGGACAAGGGAGGCUGGGCCAGGAAGGAAAGAAGCAACCUGUCAACUGCCCCAGCCCCAGCAAAGGAAGCCCAGAGCGGGAUUGCUUCCAGACUAGAGGAGAAGUGUAUUGGGGCAGAGCUGACUCAGGAGACAGCCCCUGGGAAAGUCCUGGUUGGGAAUUGUUUCCCAGUGGGGGCAGCUUUGUCCAGCGUGGAAAACAAUUCUCUGGAUGCACAGGAACUCCCCCAGCAGGUCAUGGAACUGGGGGCACUCCUCUGCAGUGCCUCAGCCCAGAAAGCAGAACCAAUUGUGCUCACUCCAGCUUUGGGAUUGAGUCAAGGAGAACAAGUUAAUCCUUGGACUUGCUUGAAGAUCUCCAGAAACCAACAGAGGCUGCUGUCCUGCACUGCAGAGUGCACCAAGAGGGGGAGACCAAAGCAGAACUGGGGAAUCAUUUGGCCCAUAAUUCUGCCAAAGAGGCUACAGAAAAAGGCACUUUAGAGAGUAAAGUUUUGUCUUUAAUAACCCUGACAGAGAUACCUCUCCCAGUAGAAAAAAAUUAGUCUAGUGCUAAGGAUUGUCAACUCAUUGAAACCUUAGGAGCAAAAUUUGCUCCAGGAGGCUGGGCAGUUACCCCAGGUGGGCAAAUAAUAGUCCCUGAACCAAUCUGGUGUGAUCUGGUGGAUGGGGAACAUGAGGGUAUUCCUUGGAGUGAAGCAAAUCAUUGAAACAUUUGCACAAGUGGGUUAUAAGUCCAAAACUGCCCCCAAUUGUACAAGCAGUGAGUCAGCAGUGUGGUGUGUGAGAGAAAUGAUCCAACCCCUGCCAAUGCAGUGGGAAUAGGUGAUGUAAAGUGUGGAAAUGUUCCAGGUGAAUGUUGGCAGAUGGAUUUGACUGAAUUGCCCAGAAAAGGGGGGUGUAAAGAUCUCCUAGUCUUGGGGGAUACCUUCUCUGGGUGGCCAGAGGCUUUUCCUUGUUGCACUAAGCAGGUUUGGAAAGAGACUGCAAUCCUGUUCAAUGCAAUCCUCCCUGUAUUUGGGAUGCCUUUGGGAAUGUCAUCAGAGGUUCCCACUUGACUGCAGAAACAAAAUGCUUCACUCUUGUUUUGCUCUUCUGAACACAGUUCAAACACUGUUGACAUGGGAGGAAAAUUUACAUCUCUUUUUAGUGCCAAAUGUGAUCCAAGUGUUGUCUAAAAGUGUCUGUAUUAAGUAAGCAAGACUCUGUAAUGAACAUGUAAACUGUGUGUGUAAUGUAAAGCCCUGUCUGGCUGUCACUGAGGUGCUGAGGCUGAACAACAGCCCCUGAGCCAAAGCUGAGCUCUAGAUGAACCUUCCAACCUAAUGGGCUGUGUCUCCAUGUAUCUGCUCAUCAGCUAAAACUGGGUCUAUUUGUUGGUACAAAUGUGCUGUGAUGGGACUCCACCUGUGUAUCUGCUCCUGAACAGACAGGUGUGCUUAUUAGUCAGAUCUGUUAGUCUGGGCUCAUUAGUGAAUCCUGUUUGUACCUGUUCAUUAACGAAAUAUGUCUGAUUGUGAGCAAAA